AGGCUUAUCACCUUGGCUCUGCGAAUCUUUAGUUUUCUCCAUUUGCUGUGUGGAUUUUCCUGGCUGAUGCCAUGAGUGACAGGGUGGGUCAGCAGACAUGUCAAGGCUUGGAGGGGAUGCAGGAGGACUGUGAUCAGCAGUCGAGCAGUGCUGGAAGAUUGGACAGAUCGAGGGAUGACGUGCAGUCGCAGCCAGAGAGGAGAGCAAGAGGACCCAUACAUGAAAAUGCCUCAGCGCUACCUGUGGUGACAUUACCGCGAGGCUGGCCAGGCUGUCUUAAGCGUGAAUUCAAUUUUGCUUCUGCCACUUUCAUUUCUCGGCGACCCCUCACCACCCGGGGCCCGCAGGGAAAUUGUGUUAUUACAGG
rnacentral:lncRNA from 1 species